UAUCUUGACGGGGGACUUUUCCUUUUUGAACACCUUGUUUAAGUAGGAAUUAGGGGACAGCUCUUUCGAGUCCAUCGAGUCCUAGGUUGGAAUUAUGUUGGUUAAUUGGAAAUUUAUAAUUAUUUGUACGAGUUCGGGGACGCUUCGUUUGAGUCCAUCGAAUCCUGACAAGAUUAUUUGUGAACACCGAGAUAAAUCUACGUUUGUGGUUACUUACGUCGUUGAAAACACUUGCGUCUUUUAACGAUAUGUUCCGUGUGCUCCUUGCUUUGAUUUGCGACAUUUUUAACACUUAAUAACUUUGUUAACACAUUUAUUUUAACACACACAACAAAACAUAUUUGGAGAGGUUAAGGUAAACAUUUUGGCGCUCCAGAAACAUGCUUACCAACCUGUGUGGUUAUUCAGUGAACCGGCUUCCUAUGAACUUGAUAUUUUCGAUAGACACGUUCGGCACGGCACCUUUGGACUCGGCACGGUUCGGUUUUUGAAUCGUUGUUAAUAUACAAUAAAAAACAAAAAGUUGAUCAA